AUACCCUGGUAGUCCAUGCCGUAAACGUUGGGCACUAGGUGUGGGGCUCAUUCCACGAGUUCCGUGCCGCAGCAAACGCAUUAAGUGCCCCGCCUGGGGAGUACGGCCGCAAGGCUAAAACUCAAAGGAAUUGACGGGGGCCCGCACAAGCGGCGGAGCAUGCGGAUUAAUUCGAUGCAACGCGAAGAACCUUACCAAGGCUUGACAUAUACCGAAAACUCAUGGAGACAUGGGGUCCGCAAGGGCGGUAUACAGGUGGUGCAUGGUUGUCGUCAGCUCGUGUCGUGAGAUGUUGGGUUAAGUCCCGCAACGAGCGCAACCCUCGUCCUAUGUUGCCAGCACAUCAUGGUGGGGACUCAUAGGAGACUGCCGGGGUCAACUCGGAGGAAGGUGGGGAUGACGUCAAAUCAUCAUGCCCCUUAUGUCUUGGGCUUCACGCAUGCUACAAUGGCCGGUACAAAGGGCUGCGAUACCGCAAGGUGGAGCGAAUCCCAAAAAGCUGGUCUCAGUUCGGAUUGGGGUCUGCAACUCGACCCCAUGAAGUCGGAGUCGCUAGUAAUCGCAGAUCAGCAACGCNGCG
rnacentral:rRNA from 1 species